AGAAGGUCCCAAGGGUUAGGCUGUUCGCCUAUUAAAGCGGUACGCGAGCUGGGUUUAGACCGUCGUGAGACAGGUCGGUCCCUAUCUGUCGUGGGUGUACGAGAUUUGAGGAGAUAUUCCCCUAGUACGAGAGGAUUGGGGAGUACGGACCUCUGGUGUUCCUGUUGUCGUGUCAACGGCAUCGCAGGGUAGCUACGUCCGGGAAGGAUAAGCGCUGAAGGCAUAUAAGCGCGAAGCCCCCUUCAAAACUAGAUCUCGCAUGAGACUCCUGGAAGACCACCAGGUUGAUAGGCCGGGUGUGUAAGCAUGGCAACAUGUUCAGCUGACCGGUACUAAUACGUCGAUCGGCUUGACCGCUAUUUCUCAUUU
rnacentral:rRNA from 1 species